rnacentral:rRNA from 1 species
GGCCUAACACAUGCAAGUCGAGGGGUAUAGUUCUUCGGAACUAGAGACCGGCGCACGGGUGCGUAACGCGUAUGCAAUCUACCUUUUACAGAGGGAUAGCCCAGAGAAAUUUGGAUUAAUACCUCAUAGCAUAGCAGUCUCGCAUGAGAUCACUAUUAAAGUCACAACGGUAAAAGAUGAGCAUGCGUCCCAUUAGCUAGUUGGUAAGGUAACGGCUUACCAAGGCUACGAUGGGUAGGGGUCCUGAGAGGGAGAUCCCCCACACUGGUACUGAGACACGGACCAGACUCCUACGGGAGGCAGCAGUGAGGAAUAUUGGACAAUGGGCGCAAGCCUGAUCCAGCCAUGCCGCGUGCAGGAUGACGGUCCUAUGGAUUGUAAACUGCUUUUAUACGAGAAGAAACACUCCUUCGUGAAGGAGCUUGACGGUAUCGUAAGAAUAAGGAUCGG